rnacentral:rRNA from 1 species
CUACGGAGGGUGCAAGCGUUAAUCGGAAUUACUGGGCGUAAAGCGCGUGCAGGCGGUUUGGUAAGUCGGAUGUGAAAGCUCCUGGCUCAACUAGGAGAGGUCGUUCGAUACUGCCAGACUAGAGGACGGAAGAGGGAAGUGGAAUUCCCGGUGUAGUGGUGAAAUGCGUAGAUAUCGGGAGGAACACCAGUGGCGAAGGCGGCUUCCUGGUCCGGUCCUGACGCUAAGACGCGAAAGCAUGGGUAGCAAACGGGAUUAGAAACCCCGGUAGUCC